rnacentral:rRNA from 1 species
AUUGAACGCUGGCGGCAGGCCUAACACAUGCAAGUCGAGCGGAUGAAGGGAGCUUGCUCCUGGAUUCAGCGGCGGACGGGUGAGUAAUGCCUAGGAAUCUGCCUGGUAGUGGGGGAUAACGUCCGGAAACGGGCGCUAAUACCGCAUACGUCCUGAGGGAGAAAGUGGGGGAUCUUCGGACCUCACGCUAUCAGAUGAGCCUAGGUCGGGUUAGCUAGUUGGUGGGGUAAAGGCCUACCAAGGCGACGAUCCGUAACUGGUCUGAGAGGAUGAUCAGUCACACUGGAACUGAGACACGGUCCAGACUCCUACGGGAGGCAGCAGUGGGGAAUAUUGGACAAUGGGCGAAAGCCUGAUCCAGCCAUGCCGCGUGUGUGAAGAAGGUCUUCGGAUUGUAAAGCACUUUAAGUUUGGAGGAAGGGCAGUAAGUUAAUACCUUGCUGUUUUGACGUUACCAACAGAAUAAGCACCGGCUGACUUCGUG